rnacentral:rRNA from 1 species
GGCGAGUGAAGCGGUAACAGCUCAAAUUUGAAAGCUAGCUCUUUUAGGGUUCGCAUUGUAAUUUGUAGAAGAUGCUUCGGGUGUGGCCCCGGUCUAAGUUCCUUGGAACAGGACGUCAUAGAGGGUGAGAAUCCCGUAUGUGACUGGGUGCUUUCGCUCAUGUGAAGCUCUUUCGACGAGUCGAGUUGUUUGGGAAUGCAGCUCAAAAUGGGUGGUAAAUUUCAUCUAAAGCUAAAUAUUGGCCAGAGACCGAUAGCGCACAAGUAGAGUGAUCGAAAGAUGAAAAGCACUUUGGAAAGAGAGUUAAACAGUACGUGAAAUUGUUGAAAGGGAAGCGCUUGCAACCAGACUUGCGCGCUGAUGAUCAUCCGGGCUUCUGUCCGGUGCACUCGUCUGCGCUCAGGCCAGCAUCGGUUUCGGUGGUGGGAUAAAGGCCUUGGGAAUGUAGCUCCUCUCGGGGAGUGUUAUAGCCCUCGGUGCAAUGCCGCCUACCGGGACCGAGGACCGCGCUUCGGCUAGGAUGCUGGCGUAAUGGUUGUAAGCGACCCGUCUUGAAACACGGACCAAGGAGUCUAACAUCUAUGCGAGUGUUUGGGUGUCAAACCCAUACGCGUAAUGAAAGUGAACGGAGGUGAGAACCCUUAAGGGUGCAUCAUCGACCGGUCCUGAUGUCUUCGGAUGGAUCUGAGUAAGAGCAUAGCUGUUGGGACCCGAAAGAUGGUGAACUAUGCGUGAAUAGGGUGAAGCCAGAGGAAACUCUGGUGGAGGCUCGCAGCGGUUCUGACGUGCAAAUCGAUCG